AGGGUGUAAACGCUGCAGACUUGGUGUUGGAGGCCCUUUGGGGGCAUUCAGUGCCGGAGAGAAGUUGUUAAGUCUGCUACUUGGGGAGUACGUCCGCAAGGAUGAAACUUAAAGGAAUUGGCGGGGGAGGCACCGCAACGGGAAGAGCGUGCGGUUUAAUUGGAUUCAACACCGUAAAACUCACCAGGGAAGACUGUUACAUGAAGGCCGAGAUGAAGACUCUGCUAGAUUUUCAGAGAGGUGGUGCAUGGCGUCAGUG
rnacentral:rRNA from 1 species